GGUGAGAUGGCCGAGUUGGUAUGUUAAAAGAAUCACCAGAAUGACAAAAAAAUUUAACGACAAUAGGUUAUGGCGCCAGGUUAAGGUUACCUUAAUAUUAAUUCCUGGUCACGAAAGUGGCGUGGGUUCGAGUCCCACUCUCAUCA